ACACAUGCAAGUCGAGCGCGAAAGGGACCUUCGGGUCCCCUGAGAGCGGCGAACGGGUGAGUAACACGUGGGCAACCUGCCUCAAGGACUGGGAUAACUCCGGGAAACCGGGGCUAAUACCGGGCGAUGUCGUCUGGCGCAAGCCGGCCGACCAAAUGGUAGCUUCGGCCUCCGCCUUGAGAUGGGCCCGCGUCCUAUCAGCUUGUUGGUGAGGCAACGGCUCACCAAGGCUACGACGGGUAGCUGGUCUGAGAGGAUGAUCAGCCACACUGGGACUGAGAUACGGCCCAGACUCCUACGGGAGGCAGCAGUGGGGAAUUUUGCGCAAUGGGCGAAAGCCUGACGCAGCAACGCCGCGUGAGCGAAGAAGGCCUUCGGGUUGUAAAGCUCUGUCAGGGGGAAAGAAGGCACCUGGGUUAAUAGCCCAAGGGCUGACGGUACCCCCAAAGGAAGCCACGGCUAACUACGUGCCAGCAGCCGCGGUAAUACGUAGGUGGCGAGCGUUGUCCGGAAUCAUUGGGCGUAAAGAGCGCGUAGGUGGCCUGUCAGGUCUGAUGUGAAAUCCUGGGGCUCAUCUCCAGAACUGCAUCGGAAACCGGCUUGCUAGAGUCUGGGAGAGGAGAGUGGAAUUCCUGGUGUAGCGGUGAAAUGCGUAGAUAUCAGGAGGAACACCGGUAGCGAAGGCGGCUCUCUGGAACAGUACUGACGCUGAGGCGCGAAAGCUAGGGGAGCGAACAGGAUUAGAUACCCUGGUAGUCCUAGCCGUAAACGAUGGACACUAGGUGUCGGGGGUGUCGACUCCCUCGGUGCCGAAGCUAACGCAUUAAGUGUCCCGCCUGGGGAGUACGGCCGCAAGGCUAAAACUCAAAGGAAUUGACGG
rnacentral:rRNA from 1 species